rnacentral:misc_RNA from 1 species
UCCAGCCAUCUCAUCAAUUGAUAUUGUUCCAUCAUUAGCUUUCUUUGCGAGGGUGUUGAUCUCCUUCUCUAUCUCAGCAAAAUUCAUCUUAUCGGCAUUGCGAAUAACUGGGACAACAAGGCCCUGGAUUGAAUAGGUUGAAAACAUUAAGCAACAUAGGAACAAGAAUCCAAUUCAUACAAAUAUUUUCAUUACUCAUCCUUUAUGAUUAAAGCAUGGAAUGCAAGAUUGAAGCCAAAUAAAUAUCCUUACCCUCACUUUUUUUCUCAAACUUCAUAUAGUCAGCUAAAUAAAAAUAAAAGUAAAGGGUGGGAUAAUAGCAGUUACUUCUCUUUUUCAUAUGCAGAUGGUGGGGACUUGAACCUUUAAUACAAUCAUAGUAGUUAUUCUCUCUCUUCUUUUCCAUUCUAAUUUUUCAUGAAUCAAAAUGAGAACAAAAAAUGGCAUUUAAACCAUUAAGUUAUCUAAAAAAUUUGAAGUGAAAAUUUCAGGGACAGUUAAAAGCACAUCAAAUGAGUAAAGCAUAAAUCCAAGUGAAUUAAAUGUAAGAAAGUCUACCUUAGCAGCGACAUUAAAGAACAUGUAAUGCGUACAAACAUUAAAAGAUACAACUACAAUACCAAAUAUAAAAUAGGGAACAUGAGAAGUCUAGCCAAAAAAUCCAUUGCGUUCAGAAGAGAUUGGAUCAAAAGAGAACAGUCACAAAAAUUUUAGGCACUAGCAACCUAAGAGCCGGUACUUAGCAAUAUUAUUUGAGACAGAAAAAACUCAAAAAUGCAUAUAAUCCACAUUAACAGCCAGAAUGAGCAUCUCCAUUCCAUCAAAAGAGUCCCAUCACUAAGCAAAGGAAAAAAUAUGUUUCUAUUCUGUAAACUGAAUUCUGAAUAAUCUCACACUAUAAUGGUUUAUAAUAACAUUCUACUAAUGCUUCAAGAGCAAUAUACCAUUUGAAGAUACUUUAAAAAAUGUAAAGGUUAUGAAAGAAACCAGUGCAAAAUUACACACUAGAGUUUAACACAAACACAAAUGUCUCAAAAUACAGAAGCUAUUUAAAAGUACCCAGUAGGAGUUUCUAGACAAACAGGUACCAAAUGCAACAAGUUCUGUUUGUGUUUAUAAGCAUGAGAAGCUAAUGAAUUCCAGAGAUGAAGACAAAC